rnacentral:misc_RNA from 1 species
CCAGGCACUUAGAAAAUUAAAACUUUAAUGGUCUCUCUCAAAUGAAAUUAUAUCUUAAGGCCGCUGAUUCUGAAGAUGUGUAAUCUUCUGUCUUUAUUAUAGACAUGUAUCAGUAUACAAAAAGAGACAAGGUCUCUGUCUUUAUUAUGGACGUGCGGAGACAGAAUAAAACAUAACAAGGAUGUUUUUGUGAAGCUGGGAAAUGAACAAUAGCUAGCUAAAAGAUCCGUGCAAAAUCAAGAGACUUCUUUCCUUCAUGAGCAUUGCCAAAAAAGUUGUUGUAGUAAUCUUCAAACACAACCUCCCUGAAACGUGCCACGCCAUCCCUCUCCACCACUUGAGGCAAUGGUCCAAUUUUCUCUGUUCGUUUUGGAAUUGUAAAAAAUGGAACUGACACUCUUGAUUGAGUGCUUGUAGUACGAACUCUGUGUUCAGCACUUUUAUACCUUCCAUUGCU